rnacentral:rRNA from 1 species
ACCUUUACUACAGCUUGACAUUGGAUUUUGGGAUAUGAUGUGCAGGAUAGGUGGGAGACGAUGAAGCAGGCACGCAAGUGUUUGUGGAGUUACCCUUGAAAUACCACCCUUCAUAUUUCAGUGUUCUAACUUUGGUCCAUUAUCUGGAUUGAGGACAGUGUCUGGUGGGUAGUUUGACUGGGGCGGUCUCCUCCUAAAAAGUAACGGAGGAGCGCAAUAGGUAUCCUCAUUGCGGUUGGAAAUCGCAAGUAGAGUGCAAAAGCAUAAGGAUGCUAGACUGCGAGACAAACAAGUCGAGCAGGUGCGAAAGCAGGCUUUAGUGAUCCGGUGAUCCUGUAUGGAAGGGUCAUCGCUCAACGAAUAAAAGGUACGCCGGGGAUAAC